rnacentral:lncRNA from 1 species
ACUGAAGGUUGCUUUUAUCCGGUAUAAAAUUUAGUUUCUUUUUAAAGUCAAUCAAAGGUAAACAUUUCUGCCAAAAAAAUAUGUCCACAAAGGUCAUUAUUACCAUAUCCCAGGAGGCAUAUCUUAUUAUUUCUGUUGGAAUUUUUCAUACUAAGGCUACUUUAGAAUAUGGUAUCAAAACAUAACAGUCUAAGAAACAUUUGGGGAAUAACAAUACUAAGGGCAUAUUAUCUCUCAUCAGAAUAAAGCGAUGUUAAACUUUUGAUCCCAAGAGGUUACUGCUAUUCUUACAGUAGUUUUCCCUCCUUUGCGAAUAAUUGCUUACGGUCCCUUUAUGCCCCCAAGAUAUCCACUUUCUUCUACAGAUUUCAGAAUGUAAAAAUUAAACGUAUCAACCUAAGAUCCGGCUCUGAAUGCUAUUUCAGCAUCUCUAUAUUGCUUUUAACCGGGCUUUGAAAAAGUAUAUAAUUUCAACACCGUGGUCAAUGUUCAGUGAUUUUUGUGGAAAGCUAGAGUGUGGAGGUUUGUUAGAAUACUAAGUUUACCUAAAUACCACCCCCCCCCCCAAGCCCCAGAGCUUAGUGCUCCCUGCGGAUGUUGGAAGUCUGGUUCAAGUCUAAGACAACAAUGUACAAGUCCUCUGAGGAAUGAAGAAGUAGCAGCGGCUCGAUGGAACGGUCUCCCAUUUCUCCUACUCGUUAGCACAUCGUUGUUGCAUUUCACCUGUGGCAUUGCAUACUAACCAACAGAAGGUGAACUACAUCUUCCAAAAAGUUGCUAAGAGAAAAACAGUCCUCUAAUCUUCAGCAUUGAAAUUCAAGGGUUUAAAUCUUGUCUUAACGAAGACACUAGGGCUAAAAAUCACGGUCAGCUUCGUAGAGCGCAUCUCACAUUAUUUCUGAAUUUUUCAUGCCCCUUCUCUUUUUCCUCACACUAAAGAACAUCUGGGUAAGUUAGAAUAGUGCCAACUUGUUCGAUUUGUUAACUGACUCUCUUGUUACUACUCUGAGCAUGGGAAAUAAGGGCUUUCCGUGUGUCUUGGUGCACAGGAAAAACUGCAAACUGCCAAGGAAAGGAACAUCAUGAUAUUUGAGAUAAAUUGAACACAUUAGAGGAAACGAGUUCUGGAAAAUUGCUAUAAAUGAUUUUUACGUUUCUUUCUACUUUGUUACUCACCUACGAGUCAGAUCCAUGUGGCAUUUAAAACAAAUUUCUUUGAUGAUAUUCUUUACAAGUCACUUUUUUUUUCUUUUACUUAAAAUUAUGGGAUAGGCAUGUGAAUCACACGUGUGAUAUAGAAAUUCAGCUAUUGAAUUUUUGUCGUUUUAUUUCUACAUGACUGAACUGAUGGUGAACUAAAUUUACAGAAGUCAGCUACCAUACUGAAAACUAGGAUAGCAGAACUGAUUUCAUACGGUAGAGGUGAUCUGUGCAUUAUCCAUAACGACGUUUUCUUUCACAAUAGGACCACAGACAAAUAUUUAUGUAAAUAGAUAUUUUUGUGUGAUAUUUUGUGGUACAUAUAACUUUUUUUUUAGUGUUUCACAGCAUUAUUAUUUCAUUUUCUUUGUAUUGAAUACUGUUUUUAGGUCCAAGUAGACUUGAAUUAAUGUCAUAAUUGUCAGUAUUAUUGAAAAUUAUGUCAACUGUAUGGUUUCAUCUGUUCCAUAGUUUAGAACAUGACCUGGCUAUCUGGCAUUGUUGCAAGUGCCUUAAAUUCAUGGCAUCCUAUUAAAAAACAAAUUUGGUGUUAUGCUGCAUGACAAAGACAAAUACACCUCAAAAUGUUGUCCUUUCUUAGCUUGCUGCGUUUUACAGUUCUUUCUGCUAACAAUUUAUAAGCCUUUAUUAUAUAAUAUUGAUGAAUUACAGAAAUGAUGAAGUCGCUCUCUUAUUUCUGUUACAUGUACCAGAGCUGUGUAUCUGUUACUGAGAUACAGCGUCAUUUCUGUGAAAUGUAAAAUGUAUGUGCAGGUCAAAUUAAUAUAUGACAUACUAUCAGUCUGUAUACAGGCAUUCCUGUUUUGCUAAGCUGUGCAGAUUCAGUUAAAAAAUAAAAAAACCAUGAGUGCAGUCAAGUUCUAACGUCUCAUUUUAUAGACUCCAUUACCGACGCUCCAACUCAAAAGAAAAAUUGGAAAGUGACUGCUAACCACACCUCGUUAUGAAACCAAUGAUGAACACGUACCUUGGUGCACUCCUCAACAAAACAGGAUGCUUUCUGAGUUCUUGUAUAUGCAAAUCAUUUAUGAGGCAAGUUUGCAACGGACCUGGAAAGAUAAAAUUGGAAGUGUGUUGUUAGCCCUCCUCUUUAUCUGCCCCUGACUUAACAGAGCUCUGGGACCUUGACAGUGACUCAGAGGUUUGGGCUUUCCGAGGCAAGGGACAUUUCUUCAAGUAUCAUCUAUCCAAUUUAUUUCAUUGUAUGAUGUUUUUACAACUGGUCAGUUCUUUUGUAUUCUUACAGCUAUGGUUACUUGAUUGUCCUCUUACAAUUUGUUCUACAUGAAAGAGUCCUUUGUUAGUCAGAAUGCAACAACUGUCAUCAAAUGGUCAUUGACCACUUGCACUCUUUUGAUGUAGAUUAAAAACUUUUUCAUAAAAUUAACCUGCUUUGAUUUGCUCUGUAUUUUUCCUGCAGCUGUAAUUGCCGAGUGCCUGU